CCCUGUCCAUUUUGCAGGCCAGCUGGCAUGCCCCUGUGACUCAUGGCCAGUGUCUUCGAAUGGGAAAGGUAUGCAGCUUGCGCCCGAACUGCGGCGAGGUCGGGAGGCACGAAACCCGGCACUCAGCACCGGCCACACACACACACACACACACACACACACACAGUAGGCGCGUAGGGUGUAGACCCGGCUGUAGUUCUCCAGGCCAAUAGAAAUCCGGCCUCUGGGAGGUCGGAGGUGAAGAGCACAGAUCUGCACCACUGUUAGCCCUCAAGGUCGCCUGCCGGGGUCAGCGGCGCCCUGCCUCCCCACCCCCACUGAGCCACGUGACCUCAAAGAGCCGCCGAGGCUCUGGAACGCGGCGACCCCAGCCUGGAAGGGCGGCGCGGGGUAGGGGAGGGAGGAGGGCCGCUCAGGGGCCCGGACUGGAGCGGUGGGGGUGGCGCGAGAAGGGGCCCCUUCCCUCUUUUCCCAGCAGGGCGAAUUGGGUGGAGCGAGAGAAGAGGGAGGUUUGGCUUGGUCCAGGGAAGCUCUUUGGCUCAGGAACACCCAGUGUGACUUCAAUAGUCAUAGGAGAUCAACAGGAUGAUCACUCCAAGUGAGCUCCACCCCUCCUGUCCAUGGUGCAGCUAGGGGGGUGGGCAGUGCUACUGUUUCCAAAUUGCUUCUCAACCAACUCUCUCACCAAAAAACAGAGGAGGUAAGUGACCAGGACAGAGCCAGGGGGCUUUGGGGAGGGUUUUUAGGCCACGAAAGCCCUGGCUUCAACCAUCACCCUUGAACCAAAUGAAAGGGACUGAAUAAAGUUAUACAGCAAGCAAUGGGCCUUGGACCUGUAGGCAGAAGGCUAUGCAUGAGGCUGUUGCAGGCCACUUAGAUGGCCACUUGGAUCCACCUCCCUCACCACCUUAACUGUAGGAAAGAGGCCCACUGAGACCCCAGAUAGCUUUUUAGAGUGGAAACCUGUUCCCAAUGAUCUGGGGAGAGAGCACCGAGAAGCCAGGCA
rnacentral:lncRNA from 1 species